rnacentral:tRNA from 1 species
GGCCGGUUAGCUCAGUUGGUUAGAGCGUGGUGCUGAUAACGCCAAGGUCGUGGGUUCGAUCCCCGUUCGGUCC